AGAGUUUGAUCCUGGCUCAGGAUGAACGCUAGCGGCAGGCUUAACACAUGCAAGUCGAGGGGUAGCAGGAUUUAGUUUACUAGAUUGCUGACGACCGGCGCACGGGUGAGUAACGCGUAUACAAUUUGCCUUUUACUGGAGGAUAGCCCAGAGAAAUUUGGAUUAAUACUCCAUAGUAUUAUUUAAUCACCUGAUUGAGUAAUUAAAGUUCCGGCGGUAAAAGAUGAGUAUGCGUCCUAUUAGCUAGAUGGUAAGGUAACGGCUUACCAUGGCGACGAUAGGUAGGGGUCCUGAGAGGGAGAUCCCCCACACUGGUACUGAGACACGGACCAGACUCCUACGGGAGGCAGCAGUGAGGAAUAUUGGGCAAUGGAGGCAACUCUGACCCAGCCAUGCCGCGUGCAGGAAGACGGCCCUAUGGGUUGUAAACUGCUUUUAUACAGGAAGAAACUUAUCCACGUGUGGAUAACUGACGGUACUGUAAGAAUAAGGACCGGCUAACUCCGUGCCAGCAGCCGCGGUAAUA
rnacentral:rRNA from 1 species